rnacentral:rRNA from 1 species
GGAGUUAGCCGGUGCUUCUUCUGUGAGUGAUGUCCUUCCUGCCGGCUAUUAACCCGCAGGCCUUCUUCCUCACUGAAAGUGCUUUACAACCCGAAGGCCUUCUUCACACACGCGGCAUGGCUGGAUCAGGGUUGCCCCCAUUGUCCAAUAUUCCCCACUGCUGCCUCCCGUAGGAGUCUGGGCCGUGUCUCAGUCCCAGUGUGGCUGAUCAUCCUCUCAGACCAGCUACGGAUCGUCGCCUUGGUGAGCCGUUACCUCACCAACCAGCUAAUCCGACAUAGGCUCAUCCGAUAGCGCGAGGCCCGAAGGUCCCCCGCUUUCCCCCGUAGGGCGUAUGCGGUAUUAGCCUGGGUUUCCCCAGGUUAUCCCCCACUACCGGGCAGAUUCCUAUGCAUUACUCACCCGUCCGCCGCUCGCCACCAGGGAGCAAGCUCCCCGUGCUGCCGCUCGACUUGCAUGUGUUAGGCCUGCCGCCAGCGUUCAAUCUGAGCCAGAAUCAAACUCUAGA